GGGUCAUGCUCAGGUUAAACAACAGAAUAGGCUAAUAAGUCCUUAGUUUUAGGUCAUGCUCGGGUUAAACAACAGAAUAGGCUAAUACGUCCUUAGUUUUGAGUCAUGCUCAGGUUAAACAACAGAAUAGGCUAAUACGUCCUUAGUUUUGAGUCAUGCUCAGGUUAAACAACAGAAUAGGCUAAUACGUCAAUAGUUUUGAGUCAUGCUCAGGUUAAACAACAGAAUAGGCUAAUACGUCAAUAGUUUUGAGUCAUGCUCAGGUUAAACAACAGAAUAGGCUAAUACGUCCUUAGUUUUGGGUCAUGCUCAGGUUAAACAACAGAAUAGGCUAAUACGUCCUUAGUUUUGGGUCAUGCUCAGGUUAAACAACAGAAUAGGCUAAUAAGUCCUUAGUUUUGGGUCAUGCUCAGGUUAAACAACAGAGUAGGCUAAUAAGUCCUUAGUUUUGGGUCAUGCUCGCGUUAAACAACAGAAUAGGCUAAUACGUCCUUAGUUUUGGGUCAUGCUCAGGUUAAACAACAGAGUAGGCUAAUAAGUCCUUAGUUUUGGGGUCAUGCUCAGGUUAAACAACAGAAUAGGCUAAUAAGUCCUUAGUUUUGGGUCAUGCUCAGGUUAAACAACAGAGUAGGCUAAUAAGUCCUUAGUUUUGGGGUCAUGCUCAGGUUAAACAACAGAGUAGGCUAAUAAGUCCUUAGUUUUGGGGUCAUGCUCAGGUUAAACAACAGAAUAGGCUAAUAAGUCCUUAGUUUUGGGUCAUGCUCAGGUUAAACAACAGAGUAGGCUAAUAAGUCCUUAGUUUUGGGGUCAUGCUCAGGUUAAACAACAGAAUAGGCUAAUAAGUCCUUAGUUUUGGGUCAUGCUCAGGUUAAACAACAGAGUAGGCUAAUAAGUCCUUAGUUUUGGGGUCAUGCUCAGGUUAAACAAUUUGGCUUAUCUAUAUUGCUAUAUCCUAUUCUUGAAGAUCAAGAAAAUUACAUGAAUUGGCAUGACCGGAAAUCUGACCGACUUUUGGUUUUAAUGUAAAGAUACAACCUAAUCGUAUGAUUAUCUGUA